AGUGAACGCUGGCGGUAGGCCUAACACAUGCAAGUCGAACGGCAGCACAGUAAGAGCUUGCUCUUACGGGUGGCGAGUGGCGGACGGGUGAGGAAUACAUCGGAAUCUACUUUUUCGUGGGGGAUAACGUAGGGAAACUUACGCUAAUACCGCAUACGACCUACGGGUGAAAUCAGGGGAUCUUCGGACCUUGCGCGAUUGAAUGAGCCGAUGUCGGAUUAGCUAGUUGGCGGGGUAAAGGCCCACCAAGGCGACGAUCCGUAGCUGGUCUGAGAGGAUGAUCAGCCACACUGGAACUGAGACACGGUCCAGACUCCUACGGGAGGCAGCAGUGGGGAAUAUUGGACAAAGGGCGCAAGCCUGAUCCAGCCAUACCGCGUGGGUGAAGAAGGCCUUCGGGUUGUAAAGCCCUUUUGUUGGGAAAGAAAAGCAGCAGGUUAAUACCCCGCUGUUCUGACGGUACCCAAAGAAUAAGCACCGGCUAACUUCGUG
rnacentral:rRNA from 1 species